AGUCUCUCAUAGAAACUUCUGGCCUCUGGACACUGUGGGAGCAACUUUUCCUUUAUUAGACUGUCUCCUCUUUAACUGUUUGAGGAAGAACUUUUUGAAACCCAUGAAGAGUUUGAGAAGUUAAUCCAAGGUGGAACCCUGAUGUACGAGCAAGUGCCCAUGGUGGAAAUCGAUGGAAUGACUUUGGUGCAGACCAGUGCCAUCUUAAGAUAUGUAGCUGCAAAAUAUGACUUGUAUGGAAGGAACCUGGAGGAACAAGCCUGGAUUGAUAUGUAUGUAGAGGGCUUAAGAGACCUGAGCGACAUGAUAAUGUACUUUCCACUCUCUCUGCCAGAAGAGAAGGAGAUGAACCUUGAAUACAUCCUCCACCGAGCUACAACAAGAUUCUUCCCCGUUUAUGAGAAGGCCCUGAGAGACCACGGGCAAGACUUUCUUGUGGGCAAUCGGCUGAGCUUGGCUGAUGUCCAGCUCCUUGAAGUCAUCUUAAUGGCUGAAGAAUGCAAAGCCAGUGUUCUCUCGGGUUUCCCUCUGCUACAGGACUUCAAGGUGAGAACCAGCCAAAUUCCUACAAUUAACAGCUUCCUCCAACCUGGAAGCCAGAGGAAGCCUCCUUUGGAGGAGCGAUCCAUUGGGACUGCAAAGGACAUAUUCAAAUUUGAAUGAGGACUGUUUCUUAAAAACAUGAGCAAUAUAGUAGCUGAGUAUUAACAGCUACAGAGGCUGGAGUUACUCAGUAAGUAUACUGAGUAACUUGACACUGCAUUCAUAAAAAGACACUCACUAAGUAUAUGGCCAGAGAAAUAUCCUGAAGUUAGUAAUAAAUGUUAGGAAUCUUAGUAUGUUAGCAAUGUUAGAAUGUUAGUAAUGGAAAUAUUAAAUGUGUAAGAGAAAAACUACUAGAAGCUUAUCAAUAAACUACAAGAACCAACUCUUGUUUGAAGUAAGACAGGCUACCAAGACAGAAUUCAGAAAAUCCAAGGAGCCCUCGGCCUUCUGUAUGAUCCUAGAAUAAACUUGUAUGUAGCAAGUGAAA
rnacentral:lncRNA from 1 species